rnacentral:rRNA from 1 species
AGCGAACGCUGGCGGCGUGCUUAACACAUGCGAGUCGAACGUGAAAUGUAGCAAUACAGAGUAAAGUGGCGUACGGGUGAGUAACACGCGGGUAAUCUACCAAAGAGCCUGGAAUAACCGACCGAAAGGUUGGCUAAUACUGGAUAGUUCAAAUGAAAUAUAAUGUUUCGAUUGAGAAAGGGAGCGAGCAAUCGCCUUCACUUUUUGAUGAGCCCGCGUCUGAUUAGCUAGUUGGUAGGGUAAUGGCCUACCAAGGCGACGAUCAGUAGCUGGUCUGAGAGGAUGAUCAGCCACACUGGAACUGAAACACGGUCCAGACUCCUACGGGAGGCAGCAGUGGGGAAUCUUGCGCAAUGGACGAAAGUCUGACGCAGCCACGCCGCGUGAGUGAAGAAGGCCUUCGGGUUGUAAAGCUCUGUCGGAAGGGACAAAAACGUUUAAGGUUAAUAGCCUUAGAUCUUGAUGGUACCUUCAAAGGAAGCACCGGCUAACUUCGUGCCAGCCGCCGCGGUAA